GUGGCAGACGGGUGAGUAAUGCGUAGGAAUCUACCUAGUAGUACGGAAUAGCCAUUAGAAAUGGUGGGUAAUACUGUAUAAUCCCCGAGGGGGAAAGAUUUAUCGCUAUUAGAUGAGCCUACGUUAGAUUAGCUAGUUGGUGAGGUAAUGGCUUACCAAGGCUAUGAUCUAUAGCUGGUCUGAGAGGACGAUCAGCCACACUGGAACUGAGAUACGGUCCAGACUCCUACGGGAGGCAGCAGUGGGGAAUAUUGGACAAUGGGCGAAAGCCUGAUCCAGCUAUGCCGCGUGAGUGAAGAAGGCCUUCGGGU
rnacentral:rRNA from 1 species